rnacentral:sRNA from 1 species
GUCGGGCGUGGUGGCCACACCUGUCAUCCCAGCUCCUUGGGAGGCUGAGGCAGGAGGAUGGCAUGUGACAUGGUUGCGGCCAGGCUGGGCAACUUGGCAUGACCCUGUCUCCA